rnacentral:rRNA from 1 species
AACGAACGCUGGCGGCGUGGAUAAGACAUGCAAGUCGAACGGGAACUUCAGCUGUAGCAAUACAGUUGAAGUUUUAGUGGCGAACGGGUGCGUAACACGUGGGCAAUCGUGCCGAGAAGUGGGGGAUAGCUCGCCGAAAGGCGAAUUAACUACCGGCAUAGUGAUCAGCCUAAGACAUCUUAGCGACAUCAAAGCCGGGGCAACCUGGCGCUUUUUGAGGAGCCCGCGGCCUAUCAGCUAGUUGGUGAGGUAAC